rnacentral:rRNA from 1 species
CCGAAUAGGGGAGCCGAAGGGAAACCGAGUCUUAACUGGGCGUUAAGUUGCAGGGUAUAGACCCGAAACCCGGUGAUCUAGCCAUGGGCAGGUUGAAGGUUGGGUAACACUAACUGGAGGACCGAACCGACUAAUGUUGAAAAAUUAGCGGAUGACUUGUGGCUGGGGGUGAAAGGCCAAUCAAACCGGGAGAUAGCUGGUUCUCCCCGAAAGCUAUUUAGGUAGCGCCUCGUGAAUUCAUCUCCGGGGGUAGAGCACUGUUUCGGCAAGGGGGUCAUCCCGACUUACCAACCCGAUGCAAACUGCGAAUACCGGAGAAUGUUAUCACGGGAGACACACGGCGGGUGCUAACGUCCGUCGUGAAGAGGGAAACAACCCAGACCGCCAGCUAAGGUCCCAAAGUCAUGGUUAAGUGGGAAACGAUGUGGGAAGGCCCAGACAGCCAGGAUGUUGGCUUAGAAGCAGCCAUCAUUUAAAGAAAGCGUAAUAGCUCACUGGUCGAGUCGGCCUGCGCGGAAGAUGUAACGGGGCUAAACCAUGCACCGAAGCUGCGGCAGCGACACUAUGUGUUGUUGGGUAGGGGAGCGUUCUGUAAGCCUGUGAAGGUGGCCUGUGAGGGUUGCUGGAGGUAUCAGAAGUGCGAAUGCUGACAUAAGUAACGAUAAAGCGGGUGAAAAGCCCGCUCGCCGGAAGACCAAGGGUUCCUGUCCAACGUUAAUCGGGGCAGGGUGAGUCGACCCCUAAGGCGAGGCCGAAAGGCGUAGUCGAUGGGAAACAGGUUAAUAUUCCUGUACUUGGUGUUACUGCGAAGGGGGGACGGAGAAGGCUAUGUUGGCCGGGCGACGGUUGUCCCGGUUUAAGCGUGUAGGCUGGUUUUCCAGGCAAAUCCGGAAAACCAAGGCUGAGGCGUGAUGACGAGGCACUACGGUGCUGAAGUGACAAAUGCCCUGCUUCCAGGAAAAGCCUCUAAGCAUCAGGUAACAUCAAAUCGUACCCCAAACCGACACAGGUGGUCAGGUAGAGAAUACCAAGGCGCUUGAGAGAACUCGGGUGAAGGAACUAGGCAAAAUGGUGCCGUAACUUCGGGAGAAGGCACGCUGAUAUGUAGGUGAAGCGACUUGCUCGUGGAGCUGAAAUCAGUCGAAGAUACCAGCUGGCUGCAACUGUUUAUUAAAAACACAGCACUGUGCAAACACGAAAGUGGACGUAUACGGUGUGACGCCUGCCCGGUGCCGGAAGGUUAAUUGAUGGGGUUAGCGGCAACGCGAAGCUCUUGAUCGAAGCCCCGGUAAACGGCGGCCGUAACUAUAACGGUCCUAAGGUAGCGAAAUUCCUUGUCGGGUAAGUUCCGACCUGCACGAAUGGCGUAAUGAUGGCCAGGCUGUCUCCACCCGAGACUCAGUGAAAUUGAACUCGCUGUGAAGAUGCAGUGUACCCGCGGCAAGACGGAAAGACCCCGUGAACCUUUACUAUAGCUUGACACUGAACAUUGAGCCUUGAUGUGUAGGAUAGGUGGGAGGCUUUGAAGUGUGGACGCCAGUCUGCAUGGAGCCGACCUUGAAAUACCACCCUUUAAUGUUUGAUGUUCUAACGUUGGCCCGUAAUCCGGGUUGCGGACAGUGUCUGGUGGGUAGUUUGACUGGGGCGGUCUCCUCCUAAAGAGUAACGGAGGAGCACGAAGGUUGGCUAAUCCUGGUCGGACAUCAGGAGGUUAGUGCAAUGGCAUAAGCCAGCUUGACUGCGAGCGUGACGGCGCGAGCAGGUGCGAAAGCAGGUCAUAGUGAUCCGGUGGUUCUGAAUGGAAGGGCCAUCGCUCAACGGAUAAAAGGUACUCCGGGGAUAACAGGCUGAUACCGCCCAAGAGUUCAUAUCGACGGCGGUGUUUGGCACCUCGAUGUCGGCUCAUCACAUCCUGGGGCUGAAGUAGGUCCCAAGGGUAUGGCUGUUCGCCAUUUAAAGUGGUACGCGAGCUGGGUUUAGAACGUCGUGAGACAGUUCGGUCCCUAUCUGCCGUGGGCGCUGGAGAACUGAGGGGGGCUGCUCCUAGUACGAGAGGACCGGAGUGGACGCAUCACUGGUGUUCGGGUUGUCAUGCCAAUGGCACUGCCCGGUAGCUAAAUGCGGAAGAGAUAAGUGCUGAAAGCAUCUAAGCACGAAACUUGCCCCGAGAUGAGUUCUCCCUGACUCCUUGAGAGUCCUGAAGGAACGUUGAAGACGACGACGUUGAUAGGCCGGGUGUGUAAGCGCAGCGAUGCGUUGAGCUAACCGGUACUAAUGAACCGUGAGGCUUAACCUU